rnacentral:rRNA from 1 species
CCUACGGGGCGCAGCAGUGGGGAAUAUUGCGCAAUGGGCGAAAGCCUGACGCAGCGACGCCGCGUGAGGGAUGAAGGUCUUCGGAUCGUAAACCUCUGUCAGCAGGGAAGAACGGUCACUGUGCUAAUCAGCAGUGAAUUGACGGUACCUGCAAAGGAAGCACCGGCUAACUCCGUGCCAGCAGCCGCGGUAAUACGGAGGGUGCGAGCGUUAAUCGGAAUUACUGGGUGUAAAGGGAGCGUAGACGGCGCUGCAAGUCCGGAGUGAAAGUCCAUGGCUUAACCAUGGUACUGCACUGGAAACUG